rnacentral:RNase_P_RNA from 2 species
ACCGCAGACCGCCUUAUCGCUCCAAUUCGUUGGGGAGGAAAGUCCGGACACCACAGAGCAGCAUAGCGGGUAACGCCCGUCACCUUGAGCAAUCAGGGGAGGACAAGUGCAACAGAAAGGAUGUACAGGUAAUGCUGUAGUGAAAUCAGGUAAACUCUAUGCGGUGAAAUGCCAUGUAUAUCAGCAGUUAAGGGCGGCUCGUCCGUUGCUGAGGGGUAGGCAGAUAGAACCUGUGAGCAAUUGCAGGUCCAGAUAAAUGAUAAGGGCUGACUUCGGUUGGUACAGAAUCCGGCUUACAGGUCUGCAUUUUUU